rnacentral:rRNA from 1 species
CCUACGGGUGGCAGCAGUGAGGAAUAUUGGUCAAUGGCCGUAAGGCUGAACCAGCCAAGUAGCGUGAGGGAAGACUGCCCUAUGGGUUGUAAACCUCUUUUAUGCGGGGAUAAAGGUGUCCACGUGUGGAUGUUUGCAGGUACCGCAUGAAUAAGGACCGGCUAAUUCCGUGCCAGCAGCCGCGGUAAUACGGAAGGUCCGGGCGUUAUCCGGAUUUAUUGGGUUUAAAGGGUGCGUAGGCGGAAGGUUAAGUCAGCGGUCAAAUGUCGGUGCUCAACACCGGCCUGCCGUUGAAACUGGUCUUCGUGAGUGAGCGAGAAGUAUGCGGAAUGCGUGGUGUAGCGGUGAAAUGCAUAGAUAUCACGCAGAACUCCGAUUGCGAAGGCAGCAUACCGGCGCUCAACUGACGCUGAGGCACGAAAGCGUGGGGAUCGAACAGGAUUAGAUACCCCAGUAGUC